AGUGAACGCUGGCGGUAGGCCUAACACAUGCAAGUCGAACGGCAGCACAGUAAGAGCUUGCUCUUACGGGUGGCGAGUGGCGGACGGGUGAGGAAUACAUCGGAAUCUACUUUUUCGUGGGGGAUAACGUAGGGAAACUUACGCUAAUACCGCAUACGACCUACGGGUGAAAGCAGGGGAUCUUCGGACCUUGCGCGAUUGAAUGAGCCGAUGUCGGAUUAGCUAGUUGGCGGGGUAAAGGCCCACCAAGGCGACGAUCCGUAGCUGGUCUGAGAGGAUGAUCAUCCACACUGGAACUGAGACACGGUCCAGACUCCUACGGGAGGGAGCAGUGGGGAAUAUUGGACAAUGGGCGCAAGCCUGAUCCAGCCAUACCGCGUGGGUGAAGAAGGCCUUCGGGUUGUAAAGCCCUUUUGUUGGGAAAGAAAAGCAGCAGGUUAAUACCCCGCUGUUCUGACGGUACCCAAAGAAUAAGCACCGGCUAACUUCGUG
rnacentral:rRNA from 1 species